AAGUCGUAACAAGGUUUCCGUAGGUGAACCUGCGGAAGGAUCAUUAUUGAAUAAACUUGAUGUAGUUGAUGCUGGCCCUCUCGGGGGUAUGUGCUCGCUCGUCACCUUUAUCUUUCCACCUGUGCACUUUUUGUAGAUUUGGAUGUAACUGUCCGAGGCAACUCGGUUAGGAGGAAUGUCACUUGUGGCUUUCCUUGUAUGUCCAAGUCUAUGUUUUCAUAUACUCCAUAAUGUAACAGAAUGUAUUAUUGGGCCUUGUGCCUAUAAAACUAUAUACAACUUUCAGCAACGGAUCUCUUGGCUCUC
rnacentral:misc_RNA from 1 species